rnacentral:rRNA from 1 species
UGUCUGGUGGGUAGUUUGACUGGGGCGGUCUCCUCCUAAAGAGUAACGGAGGAGCACGAAGGUUGGCUAAUCCUGGUCGGACAUCAGGAGGUUAGUGCAAUGGCAUAAGCCAGCUUGACUGCGAGCGUGACGGCGCGAGCAGGUGCGAAAGCAGGUCAUAGUGAUCCGGUGGUUCUGAAUGGAAGGGCCAUCGCUCAACGGAUAAAAGGUACUCCGGGGAUAACAGGCUGAUACCGCCCAAGAGUUCAUAUCGACGGCGGUGUUUGGCACCUCGAUGUCGGCUCAUCACAUCCUGGGGCUGAAGUAGGUCCCAAGGGUAUGGCUGUUCGCCAUUUAAAGUGGUACGCGAGCUGGGUUUAGAACGUCGUGAGACAGUUCGGUCCCUAUCUGCCGUGGGCGCUGGAGAACUGAGGGGGGCUGCUCCUAGUACGAGAGGACCGGAGUGGACGCAUCACUGGUGUUCGGGUUGUCAUGCCAAUGGCACUGCCCGGUAGCUAAAUGCGGAAGAGAUAAGUGCUGAAAGCAUCUAAGCACGAAACUUGCCCCGAGAUGAGUUCUCCCUGACCCUUUAAGGGUCCUGAAGGAACGUUGAAGACGACGACGUUGAUAGGCCGGGUGUGUAAGCGCAGCGAUGCGUUGAGCUAACCGGUACUAAUGAACCGUGAGGCUUAACCUUACAACGCCGAAG